AUGAUCUUCCCCAGCAGCAGCGGCAACCCCGGGGGCAGCGGCAACUGCAGGACGCCCUAUCGCAAGCAGCAGUCUCUGGUCCCGGCCCAUCCCAUGGCCCCACCCGGUCCCAGCACCACCAGCAGUAAUAAUAAUAGUAGCAGCAGUAGCAACUCGGGAUGGGAUCAGCUAAGCAAAACGAAUCUCUACAUCCGAGGACUGCCUCCCAACACCACCGACCAGGACCUGGUGAAGCUCUGCCAACCAUAUGGGAAAACAGUAUCUACAAAGGCAAUUUUGGAUAAGACAACGAACAAACGAAAAGGUUACGGUUUUGUGGACUUUGACAGUCCUGCAGCGGCUCAGAAAGCUGUGUCAGCCCUGAAGGCCAGUGGGGUUCAAGCGCAAAUGGCAAAGCAACAGGAACAAGAUCCCACCAACCUAUAUAUUUCUAAUUUGCCACUGUCCAUGGAUGAGCAAGAACUUGAAAAUAUGCUCAAACUGUAUGGACAAGUUAUUUCUACAAGGAUACUAUGUGAUUCCAAUGGCACAAGUCAUAGUGUAGGCUUUGCUAGGAUGGAAUCAACAGAAAAAUGCGAAGCAGUCAUUGGUCAUUUUAAUGGAAAAUUCAUUAAGACACCACCAGGAGUUUCUGCUCCUACAGAGCCUUUAUUAUGUAAGUUUACGGAUGGAGGACAGAAGAAGAGGCAGAACCCCAACAAAUACAUCCCUAAUGGAAGACCGUGGCAUAGAGAAGGAGAGGCUGGAAUGACACUUAUUUAUGACCCAGCUACAGCUGCUAUCCAGAACAGAUUUUAUCCUUCACCAUACAGUAUUGCUACAAAACGAAUGAUCACUCAGACUUCUAUAACACCCUAUAUUGCAUCUCCUGUAUCUGCCUACCAGGUGCAAAGUCCUUCUUAGAUGCAACCUCAACCAUGUAUCCUACAGCACCCUGGGGGUGCCGUGUUAACUCCCUCCAUGGAGCACACUGUGUCACUACAGCCUGCAUCUAUGAUCAGCCUUCUGGCCCAGCAGAUGAGUCAUCUGUCACUAGGCAGCACUGCAACUUACAGGCCUGCAACAUCAGCUAUGCAAGGAGCCUAUUUGCCGCAGUAUGCACACAUGCAGACGAUGGCGGUUCCUGUUGAGGAGGCGAGUGGUCAGUAGCAGGUGGCUGUAGAGACGUCUAAUGACCAUUCUCCGUAUACCUUUCAACCCAGUAAGUAACUGUGAGAUGUACAGAGGGUGUUCUUACAUGUAGAAGGGUGUGAAGGCUGAACAAUCAUGGAUUUUUCUGAUCAAUUGUGCUUUAGGAAAUUAUUGACAGUUUUGCACAGGUUCUUGAAAACGUUAUUUAUAAUGAAAUCAACUAAAACUAUUUUUGCUAUAAGUUUUAUAAGGUACAUAAAACCCAUAAAUUCAUCUAGUAGCUGUUCCCCUGAACAGGUUUAUUUUAGUAAAAAAAAAAAAAAAAAAACAAUAACAAAAAAUAAAAGAUUUUUA